UGUACCUUUUUACAGAAAGUUUCUAAAUGGACCUGUUGCUUCCUGAGCUUCAGUUUCAAGUUAAAAGUAGGCCAGCCGGGGUGGUAUGUAGUGUAUUGUGAUUAUGGGAUGGUGUAGGAUAGUUUACACCUUUUUAUCCCCAAGCUAAUUUAAUCAGCCUGGUUUCUAGUGCAGGGUGGAGACGAAGGAAGAGAACAGACCUCCAAAAUUCCUUAGGGGCCUACAUUCCAAGCCACGCCACUCAUUUAAAGCUACAUCGCAAGUUUUAAAUUCCAGAUUUGCAAAAAGAAGACUAAGACCAAAUGAAAUGAAUGGGCAGCGGCUUUUGGAGGCUCGAGAGGAUUUUUGUGAGAACAGACACUGAAGACAGUUCUGAAACCAAUUUUUUUGGUUGUGGUGGUCAUGGAGGAGUUGAGAGCAUGAGACUGAUUCCUGUGAGACUCCAGGGACAGACGAGUCUUCGCUGUGGUCCAGCGUUCUCCAGCCUCCGGCGCCUAGACUGACGGCACAAGACGUUUGGCCAUAGUAGAAAUGGUUGUGCCCAACUAAGCCUGGUUUCUCUUGAGGUUCUUUAUCCUUCACUUUGGCCAAUUGGUGAAGUUUUUUCCUUGCCGCUAUCACCACUGGCUUGCAUGGUUCGGGAUUUGUAGAGCUGCGCAUCGAUGAAUUACUCUUCAGUGUUUGGACUCUCAGCAGUGAAUAUUAAACCACACUGAACUGAACUAAACUGAACUUCAACUCUAAAAACUGGACUAACACUGUUUCAAUUUACUAUGAUUUUCUAUGUGAAGCUGCUUUGAC